rnacentral:lncRNA from 1 species
CUUGAGGUCGUUUUGAGUGAGACAACGCUUUUGUGUUUCUUGUUCUAUUUUUAAAGUCAAGUUUUUAACAUCUUCAUUUAGUUUAUCCUUUUGCCUAAGGAGUUCAUUUAUUUUCUGCUGUGAUUGUUUGAGAUCACAAUCCAACAUGGAACGCUGCUUUUCAGCUUCUAACAACCGAUUUUCUACUUUUUGCUUCAAAGCUCUCUCUUCCAAAAGUUUCUUCUCCAUUUCUUUCAUGGCUUCAGAUUUUGCCUCCUCUAUAGAUUCAUAAAUCUUAUUUUUGUCUGCCAAUCGUGCUUUUGUGGCUUUAUGUUCAGCUUCCUCUUGCUCAAGGUUCUGCUGCAUAACUUUGAAUUUGUAUGUCAUAUCUAUUUCCAUGUUGCUCUUUUCCUUUUCUAAAUCUGUAAGUUUUUCCUGCAAUUGCCUUUUCUCCAUUUCUAGUUUGGCUAAUGCACUCUUUCCAUUUUUCACUUCUUCUUCCAGGCUCGAUAUUCGACCUUGUAAAUCACUGAUAAUCUCUGAUCCAUGACUUCGAUCUCUCCUUUCUGAUUCUAGAGCUGACUGAAGAUUGAGAAAGUCCUUCUCCAGUUUGAGUUUAGCGUUCUCUAGCAGGCAGUUCUUAUCCUGUAGUUCUCGAUUAUUAGCUUCCAACUGCUGGAUUUGCUUUGUACU